rnacentral:rRNA from 1 species
UACGUACGAGGCGAGCGUUAUCCGGAAUUACUGGGCGUAAAGCGCGCGCAGGUGGUCUUUUAAGUAGGGCGUGAAAUCUCCCGGCCUAACUGGGAGGGGUCGCCCUAGACUGGGGGACUUGAGGACAGCAGAGGUGGGUGGAAUUCCUGGUGUAGUGGUGAAAUGCGUAGAGAUCAGGAGGAACACCGGUGGCGAAGGCGGCCCACUGGGCUGUCACUGACGCUGAGGCGCGAAAGCUCGGGGAGCGAACGGG